rnacentral:rRNA from 1 species
GGAUUCACUUCCGAGUCUAUGUUUUCAUAUACCCUUUAUAAUUGAAGUCGAUGAAUGUAUUAGGCUUUGGCCAAUAAAACAAUACAACUUUCAACAAUGGAUCUCUUGGUUCUCGCAUCGAUGAAGAACGCAGCGAAUUGCGAUAUGUAAUGUGAAUUGCAGAAUUCAGUGAAUCAUCGAAUCUUUGAACGCACCUUGCGCCCUUUGGUAUUCCGAAGGGCAUGCCUGUUUGAGUGUCAUUAAAUUCUCAACUUCAACACUUUUUUGUAUUGAAGCUUGGAUGUUGGAGGGUCUUGCGGGCAUAUAUUAAUGUCAGCUCCUCUUAAAUGCAUUAGCAGAACCUGUGUUCGGCUCUGGUUUGAUAAUCCUAUCUAUGCCAUUGCUGAAAUGUCAUUGUUCAGCUUCUAAUGGUCCAUUGGACUGUCUCUUCAGAGGCAUAUAUUUUGACUUGACCUCA